rnacentral:lncRNA from 1 species
AUGCUCAGGGCUGGAGAGACAGCCACAGGCAGACUUAUGAGAUACUCUCCACGAGAGACAAGAAGCCCCCAACUCUGCGAUUGGAAGACGGCCACCACCUCCUCCCUGAUGAGAGGGAGAAGGAGGAGAUUCGGACAGCAGAGCAAGGAGGGGAGAACAUCAGGAAAUAAGGGAAGAUUACAUGCCAUUUUACUAGUAACUUAGAUUACUCACCACCAGGAGAAGCCCACUUCCUGAGGUCAGGCCACGAUCCGUAUACCACGCCACACCCUCGGAUCAGGCAUACUUGCUUUUGCAUAUUCAGGUGCAAGCAUUUGACUACAUCAUUAUUGCUUUACUAGAGUUGGUCCUGGGCCAUAAAUAUACUAUUUAAUUUCUACUUAUUUUCUUUUGGUUUUUUCUUUAUGAUUCAGUUGAGGCAUUACAUGGAUUUUUAAUUAUGUAUAGAAGUAGGUUAUGUUAUCUAUGAAAGUCACUUUAGGAUAAAAGAGUUUUAAUAAAAAAAAAUUGUUUAGGUAGGGGGUGUUGGGACUGAUGGGAUUAAACCCCUUUCCCAGAAGCAAUUCUGACCCCUCCAUUCUCUAAUCCUUUCUCCUCUUGACCACUUCAACACUAGGAGCCAGUGGCCUGCAGAAGCUCCCCCAGAAGAGGCAUUGGACUCUGGCCCUCUCUUGCCUGGGUCUCUGAUACCUCACCCCAAAUGUGUGUUGUGUAUGGAGGGAAAUAGACCUGCAACCAGUCACUAUCACUAUCAUUAAUUCUAUUGUAUAAUAACAUGAUACAAAAAUAAAACAUUUAGUUUUGAAAACAUGAUAUUUCCAGUUAGUGGGCCUAGUUGGAGAAAAUAAGACUACUUAAAAAUGGUGCCCAUGUGGCCUAGAUCAUUCGAGGUCAAGAGACAUCUGUAACAUUGUCCAAUCACGAAUGCCCUAGAGCUGAAUUUCAGAGGCUCUCAUUCAGUCCCUUCCUGCAAAGAUGAUCCUGCAACCUUGGGCAAGGACAUAGAUUCAAAUUUGCAGUAGCUGAAAAGGACAUAACAACACUGAUUUUCAGUGAGGAAAACACGACAACGUUCAGAUCCAGGGUGGGAGUAUUUCCCAGGUAGGAAAGAAACAGUAAUGGUUAAAGAAAAAACUUUGCAACCAGACCACCUGGGUUCAUAGUCUUAGCC